rnacentral:rRNA from 1 species
UACGUAGGUGGCAAGCGUUGUCCGGAUUUACUGGGCGUAAAGAGCGCGCAGGCGGUCGUUCAAGUCGCGUGUGAAAGCCCGGGGCUCAACCCCGGGAGGCGGGUGGAUACUGUCAAGCUCGAGUCCGGAAGAGGAGUGUGGAAUUCCUGGUGUAGCGGUGAAAUGCGCAGAUAUCAGGAGGAACACCAAUGGCGAAGGCAGCACUCUGGGACGUGACUGACGCUGAGACGCGAAAGCGUGGGGAGCAAACAGG